rnacentral:misc_RNA from 1 species
CACGAGUUCGUCCGUCUUUCGCUCAUCGGGGCCUCCUGCCCAGCCUCUUCACAAAGUCUCACACUGAGUCACCAACUCAAGUGCUUAUUCGUACGCAUAUAUAGAACUCUCUCGCACAUCCCCGUGCGCACGCAUCGAGGAGAGCCUGACCGCACGUACGACAUCCCUCACAUGGGGGUGUAUAUACAUAUGUUUUUCGUUUGCUUCCGUCGACUUAACGCAUAUACGCACACGUUGACACGCGUAUUGGGCACUCUUCCCUUGCCUUGCCUUUGCUUCACCUCCACCGCUACCAGAUAAAAAGGAAGAAAGAUCAUAAUCGCGUGGACGUGAAGGCACCCGCGUGCCCACUGACACACAGCUACGUACACGCACACAUUCAUACCUGACCGUGACGUUGCCUAUCGCUGUCUCCCUCUCCCUUCAAUAUCCUUUCACUUGGGCCGAUCGGUGAGGGCGCUUUCCCCGCUUCCUUUUUACCAUUCCUCGCAUCUCGUCGUUUUGUUUAUUGGUGAGUUCGCCGUCUUUACCUCGUCUUGUGUUGUGACAUUUCCGCCUUGCCCUCCGUUUGUGCGCGCGCCGUCUUUUCCAGUUUGUCACGCGAGCUUCACCCCCGUCCCUUUCCCAGUCUCGGCGUCUCUCUCUUCCCCCACCUUCCGGUCGAGCUGCUUAUCUGCGUGAUUCACAACGAAGGCGCUGCCUUCGGUCUCCAUCGGCCUUGGCCCAUCUACCCCGCAUCUUGGGAGUUUUUCGGGCAGAACGGAGGGCAGCGCAUCGCACACGAGGAGGAGAAAGGAGAGCAACACAGCAUCAAAACAAAACGAGGGCGAUCGCUGGGUGGGUGGGUGGAACACAUCUCAGAACCUCCUUUGCGUCAUUGGCAGCUGCUGGUUGCUGCUGCCGCUGCCACCGAGACGCUGACGCGUGAGGCGCGUACAAUCCAGUGCCGAUUCGAGCGAAGCGCGUUUUGAUCUCUUCGUUGCUCUGUCGAACACGGUGCCGCUGCGCGACCUCCUUUUUGUUUUGUUUCGUUGCACAUCUCUUCUUUCGUUGUUCUUCCCCCAUUGGUUGGCGCCACAGUGGCUGUUUCGGCGCACGCCUGUGCCUGCACCGCCAUGUCCUGCGACGCGGGGUCUCUCAUCUCCGUCAAGGGCAAGCGGGAGGGAGAGCUAGAGAUUACGCACUACCCCACGAAGCUCACCUGCUCCUUUUGCGUGUCUCUCGCCGAAAAGCGGCGAGGCGAGGCGCUCUUUCUUCUCUACCGCCUGCGCGUCAAGGAGUCGUCCAUCCUCUUCUCCAAGACGUACGGGCUGCUGGGCCAUGACAAGGCGGGCCAGGCGCAGCCAUCCACAUGGGAUGAGAUUGCCCUUUACGCGCAGCCGGCAGUGAUGGAGAUGGGCAAGCUAUCCACGAUUCGUGUGGAGUACGUCAAGAUCGCCGAGGCUGAGGCAAGGGGGCUUAUCGAGCGGGGUGAGGUGGAGAAGGAGUUUUGCCGACCAUUUUUCACACGCGGGGGCACGAGGCACUAUGAGGUGAAGUGCACCUUCCACGACGCCUCGCCACAGACAGUGGACAGAAAUGGCAAAGAAACACGCGGUAUCGGCGAAUUAGCCGGUGGGUCCCGUGUCACGAGCGCCGCUACGGCGGUGACACUGUUCACGGCGGCGUGUCUCGUUGUAGGAGUUGUAGCAGCGCGGCGACGCGGCGUCACCUGGGAGAGCGCCGCGCGAGCCGUGCAUAGCUGGACUGGAGUGUAAGAUCCAUUAUAGUUGAUUAGCAGGCUCACAGCACUACUGUGGGACAUUGAAAAGAGCACUAUCGAUCCUUUGUGCGACCAGACUAUUCGUCGGUGUUUCUCACCGCACCAUUACUCUCCUGAUUCAAUCUGCCAUCUCUUUCUCGCUGAGUCUGCGCAUCGCGCAGCUCCCUCUGCUGCAGGAGAGCACACACAACGAGAACCCUGCCAGCACGUUCGCGCGCUUGAGGGAGAAGCAAACACACACGAAAAGAAAAAGAUUUGCUUGCAUACGCCCGUUUGUGUGCCAGCGAUGUGGUUACUGGUCGAAGACCGGUGUAUGCGACGCUCAUCGGUUUGGCCUUUUGAGGUCCUCGUCGCGCAUCUUUGCGAAUCAGCGAGCGUGACUGUCACCCUCUUUCUGUCUCCCUGUAUGGCGUGCAGCACUUUAACGGAUUGAGGACAGCUCUGGGUUUUCUGCCACGCUCUGGCCUCGCGAGGGGUGUGCUUGUAAUGCGCGUUCUGUGCGUCACGCGUUGCUGGCUUGUGUACAGUCGUUGUUUGCUGCCUUUUCCUUUCGUCCUCGUUUUGCUCCCAUUUUGCUUCUCUUCACGCGCUGGCUGCUGCUUCUUCCGUAGCCCCUCUCUGCUUGUGGGCAGGCAUGCUUGACAGCACAAGAUGAGAGAAGUGCGCUUGUACUGCUAGCCAGUGUGAAUGAUGCUUUCAUUGUUGUUGUCGUGGCCGGAUGUCGCUGGCCCUGUGCGUCGCAGCGGCACACACCCUCUCUUGUCCCUUUCCUUUGCGGAUGGACCGGCGCACCGUUGCGCGCGCGCGCGGGUCCACGGGCUCACAUGGUUGUCCGCAUUGAUGGACUUGCUCAGAGAGCGAUAGAGGGAAGGGAGGGGAGAGACGUGCGGCUUUUCAUCGUGUUCUGUUAGCUUGUGCGUGUGUCUUCGCGCGUGUCUUUUAGCUCCUUUGUGUGUUGCCUCUCUUCG